GACUUGAGAUGGACUUCUGUACAGUGGCCC
rnacentral:piRNA from 1 species